rnacentral:lncRNA from 1 species
AUGAACUCAAGAAAACUGAAGAUAACUUAUUCUGAACCAAGUCACAUGAAUUCUUCCAUGAUAGAACUAAAGAGACAAGAAUUUCACAACCAGACUGAGAGUUUGAACAGGAGGUGCUUGCCGAAGGCUGAGGUUCCCAAUAGUCUAAGUUCAGUUACUUUAACUCUUGUACUGAAUAUAGGGAAAAACCAAUAGUUUUGUGACCUUCUUAGUUAGUGACUAUAACCAGGAACCAACACCUCUGUUUGUGGAUUUUUGUUGCUGCAACAAUUGCCAGAAAGCUUGUGGCAACUAAGUGUCUAUCUAUUGAUAAUUAA